CUGCUGCAUGGCCGAACUGGGCGACUGCGUGCUGCUGUAAUAACUGCUCUGGCCGUGCUGCUGCACCUGCCCCGAGUACAUGUUGGAAUGCUGACUCAUCCCCUGGCGGGCCUGAAACCGAAGCACACGCGUGAGCCGGGACUCCGGCACGGAGAGAUAAAUACAGAUGUCAGCGAGGCGUCGGUCAAUACCAUGAGGCCCAGUGGGACACUUCCUUUGUGCAGACUGGUUACCUGCAGCAGGUGUGUGUCCAUGAGCUGGGAGCCCCCCAUGCCAGAGGGCUGGUUGAGCUGCGGCUCAAACAGGAUGGGGAUGUGCUGCGUGGAGGAGGCCUGCUGGUAGGCCAGGCCGGACUGAGGCUUGCCCAGCUCGGAGGCCUGCACGCCGGCGUAGCUGUGCAGCGGGGGGCCCGACAGCAUCAUGGAGGGCUGCGACAGGCUGCUCUGCAUGAAGGCCUGCUGGGACCUGAGGGCGGCGCGGAGGACGGGCGCGGUGAGACGAUGCUCGGCAGCAGCGUGCGGGCGCUCGGCGCUCUGAGAGUUUACCUGUAAGGCUGCAAGGAGGAACUGAACAGGUCCUGAUGCUGGGAGACGGGGGGGCCGGUGCUGAGCCCCAGCUGGGCCUGAUGUUGGUGCUGGUGGUGCUGAUGUUGGUGCUGGGGCUGGCGGGUGAAUCCGGAUGUCUCACCUGCUGCAGACUGAGAGACGUACACCUGGGGGGUCUGCUGCUGCUGCGGCGGCAGGAGGGUCGGCACGCAGCCCAGCUGGGAGAAGCUGCCAGCGUUGGAGGACAGACCGCCCACCUGCAGCUGCUGGGGCUUCACCUUGCAGAUGUUCGGGGGGUCGCAGGCCGUGGCGGUCUUGGUGCCGAGGGACGAGGUGGUGUAGGUGCCGGCGCCUGCAGAGCAGAACACGGUGAAGACGUAGCCACGCUUAAAGCUUCGGCCCCUUACCUGACAGCGAGGCCCCUUACCUGACAGCGAGGUGCUGGGCGUGACGGACGCCACGGGGAUCUGUGGCAUGGAGGCGGAGGAGAAGGUGGAGUACGAGGACGCACAGGAGGUGAUGGGGGAGGAAGAGGUGGUGAUCGGAGAGUUCUUCUCCAGACUCGGGGAGUUCUCCC
ensembl:lncRNA